CCCCCUUUUAUUCGUUAGUGCUUCUAGGUCUGACAAAGGCUUCGUUUAGCACAAGUCACUCGGAUUAACCUUGCCGUGCUUUCGCACAUUGCAAAGUUUUCUCGCCUGCUGCGCCCCGUAGGCCC
rnacentral:rRNA from 1 species